GCGUUUUUCUCUGCAUCCAGAGAGCGGACUCUGUUUCUCAAGGCUCUUAUCUCAAGGUCCAGACGGUCAUUAAGCUCUUUGGCCUUCCGCAGUUCGACCAUUUCUUCAUAAAAAACAAAAAGCGUCAUGGUGAAGACUGCUGACUUGACAGCUGUCCAGCAGAGUCUAUGACAACCUCUAUAUAAGAAAAGCCCAAACAUGAACUGGAUCUGCAAAUUAGCUAGGUACCUAGAAAGCCUAUCUACAGGGCACUGGUUGCUUUUGUGACAUUGACCAUGCU